GGGAGCGUAGCUCAGCGGGAGAGCACUGCAUUGACAUUGCAGGGGUCACUGGUUCAAUCCCAGUCGUUCCCACCA
rnacentral:tRNA from 1 species